rnacentral:rRNA from 1 species
UACGGGGGGAGCAAGCGUUGUUCGGAUUUACUGGGCGUAAAGCGCACGUAGGCGGCUUUGUAAGUUAGAGGUGAAAGCCCGGGGCUCAACCCCGGGUCGGCCGUGCGAACUGCUGGGCUGGAGCACUGUAGAGGCAGGUGGAAUUCCGGGUGUAGCGGUGGAAUGCGUAGAGAUCCGGAAGAACACCGGUGGCGAAGGCGGCCUGCUGGGCAGUAGCUGACGCUGAUGCGCGACAGCGUGGGGAGCAAACAGG